rnacentral:rRNA from 1 species
CUCAUUAAAUCAGUUAUAGUUUAUUUGAUGGUCUCUCUGUUCUUCUUUUUACCUACUUGGAUAACCGUGGUAAUUCUAGAGCUAAUACAUGCGCAAGGCCCCGAGCGCGGGGGGCGGGCUUCACGGCCUCGUCCUCGCAUGCGCAGAGGGAUGUAUUUAUUAGGUUAAAAACCAGCAGUCAGCAAUGGCCCCUGCCAAACACUCCUGGUGAUUCAUAGUAACUCUUUCGGAUCGCAUUCAUG